rnacentral:piRNA from 1 species
UAUGAUGGUGUAACUUCCCCUUGUUGC